rnacentral:rRNA from 1 species
GAUGAACGCUGACAGAAUGCUUAACACAUGCAAGUCAACUGUGGCGGACGGGUGAGUAACGCGUAAAGAACUUGCCUCACGGAUAGGGACAACAUUUGGAAACGAAUGCUAAUACCUGAUACUGUUAGAGAGCUUUGAGUACCCUUAGCUAGUUGGAGAGGUAACGGCUCACCAAGGCUAUGAUGGGUAGCCGGCCUGAGUUGUUGAUCGGCCACAAGGGGACUGAGACACGGCCCUUACUCCUACGUGAGGCAGCAGUGGGGAAUAAUGGACAAUGGACCAAAGUCUGAUCCAGCAAUUCUGUGUGCACGAUGAAGUUUUCGUAAUGUAAAGUGCUUUCAGUUGGGAAGCGUUACCAACAGAAGCAGUGACGGCUAAAUACGUGCCAGCAGCCGCGGUAAUUC